rnacentral:rRNA from 1 species
CCUACGGGAGGCUGCAGUGAGGAAUAUUGGUCAAUGGGCGCGAGCCUGAACCAGCCAAGUAGCGUGAAGGAUGACUGCCCUACGGGUUGUAAACUUCUUUUAUAAAGGAAUAAAGUGAGGCACGUGUGCCUUUUUGUAUGUACUUUAUGAAUAAGGAUCGGCUAAAUCCGUGCCAGCAGCCGCGGUAAUACGGAGGAUCCGAGCGUUCUCCGGAUUUAUUGGGUUUAAAGGGAGCGUAGAUGGGUUGUUAAGUCAGUUGUGAAAGUUUGCGGCUCAACCGUAAAAUUGCAAUUGAUACUGGCAGUCUAGAGUACAGUUGAGGGAGGCAGAAUUCGUGGUGUAGCGGUGAAAUGCUUAGAUAUCACGAAGAACUCCGAUGGCGAAGGCAGCUUACUAAACUGCCACUGACAUUGAUGCGCGAAAGUGUGGGUAUCAAACAGGAUUAGAUACCCGAGUAGUC